GAUGAACGCUAGCGGCAGGCUUAAUACAUGCAAGUCGAGGGGUAACAUGGUAGCAAUACUGAUGACGACCGGCAAACGGGUGCGGAACACGUACAGAACCUUCCUUUAAGCGGGGGAUAGCCCAUAGAAAUGUGGAUUAAUACCCCAUAGUAAUAUUGACUGGCAUCAGUUGGUAUUUAAAGAUUUAUCACUUAAAGAUGGCUGUGCGGCUGAUUAGGUAGUUGGUGGGGUAACGGCCCACCAAGCCUUCGAUCAGUAACUGGUGUGAGAGCACGACCAGUCACACGGGCACUGAGACAC
rnacentral:rRNA from 1 species